UACAGAGGGGGCAAGCGUUAUUCGGAUUAUUGGGCGUAAAGGGCGCGUAGGCGGCUUGGCAAGUGGAAGGUGAAAUCCCUCGGCUUAACCGAGGAACUGCCUUCCAGACUGCUUUGCUUGAGGCCGGGAGAGGCGAGUGGAAUUCCCAGUGUAGCGGUGAAAUGCGUAGAUAGUUGGGAAGAACACCAGUGGCGAAGGCGGCUCGCUGGACCCGGUUCUGAC
rnacentral:rRNA from 1 species